CCUACGGGAGGCAGCAGUGGGGAAUAUUGCACAAUGGGGGAAACCCUGAUGCAGCGACGCCGCGUGAGCGAGGAAGUAUUUCGGUAUUUAAAGCUCUAUCAGCAGGGACGAAAACAGACGUUACCUGACUAAGAAGCCCCGGCUAACUACGUGCCAGCAGCCGCGGUAAUACGGAGGGGGCAAGCGUUAUCCGGAUUUACUGGGUGUAAAGGGAGCGUAGACGGCAAGGCAAGCCAGAAGUGAAAGGGCAGGGCUGAACCCUGUACAUGCUUUUGAAACUGUGGUGCUAGAGUGCAGGAGAGGUAAGUGGAAUUCCUGGUGUAGCGGUGAAAUGCGUAGAUAUUAGUAAGAACACCGAUGGCGCAGGCAGCUUGCUAAUCCGCAUCUGACGCUGAUGCACGAAAGCGUGGGUAGCGAACAGGAUUAGAUACCCCAGUAGUC
rnacentral:rRNA from 1 species